AUACAAAAAAAAAAACUGCAUCUGACAAAUAAAAAAAAUCAAAAAAAUUAUUCAUCAACACUCUCAAAGACCGUCUCUCUCACUCUCAAUUCUCAGACUCGCUCUCUCUUCUCUCUCACUGCCACUUGCCCACUAGAGUCUCUCUCGGUCUCACUCGACUCUUGUCUCCUUUACACUCGCCGGCAUCUCGUCUUGUCGCCGACGUUUCAACGGUCCCGCAGCCUUCCCUGGGAUCCUCAUUUUAGACUACAGAAGCAACUUGGUGGGUCGUCGUCUCUUGUCGUCUUCUGGGUUUGGGUCCUCGACGGACCGUUUUUUCAAUCUCUUCAAGUUCCAUGGCAUUCCUAUUGUUAACGCUGAUGUCAUCGCUCGUGAUGCUUUGACGAAAGGUAGCGGUGGAUGGAAAAAAGUUGUAGCUUUUGGGGAGGAAAUUCUCCUUGAAAAUAGAGAAGUCAAUAGACCCAUGCUUGGCCAAAUUGUCUUUUCCGAUCUUGAUAAGAGCCAAUUUUUCAAUCGAAAAAGAGACUCAUGGAGACAAACCAAAUGAGGAGGAUGCUGUGUACAGGAUCAAUGCUCAAAUGCCACUUGAUGUGAAGAGGAAUAAAGUAGAUAUAGUGAUAGAUAACACUGGAUCACUUGAUGACUUGAAUGAACAGUUUCAGAAGGUUCUAAUUGAAGUGUCAAAACUCUUGACAUGGACUCAGUUUUGUCUUUCGAAGAAUGGAGCCUUGGUCAUACUUGCUUUGCUCACAUCGGGUGUUGUUUUGUGUAUAAAAGAACUUCGGGUGUUAUUGUGUAUAAAAUCACUUUUAUAGUCACUUGUGUUUUUCAGAAGAUUAAAUUUAAAGUUGUAAUUUAGCAUUUUAAAAGAUGAAUUUAGCUGUGAA